AAUAUUGGACAAUGGGCGAAAGCCUGAUCCAGCCAUCCCGCGUGUGUGAAGAAGGUCUUCGGAUUGUAAAGCACUUUCGGCUGGGAGGAAGGGCAAUAACUUAAUACGUGGCUGUGUUGACGGUACCGACAGAAUAAGCACCGGCUAACUUCGUGCCAGCAGCCGCGGUAAUACGAAGGGUGCAAGCGUUAAUCGGAAUUACUGGGCGUAAGGCGCGCGUAGGUGGUUUGUUAAGUAGGAAGUGAAAGCCCCGGGCUCAACCUGGGAACUGCUUUCAAAACUGGCGAGCUAGAGUAUGGCAGAGGGUGGUAGAAUUCCAUGUGUAGCAGUGAAAUGCGUAGAUAUAGGGAGGAACACCAGUGGCGAAGGCGGCCACCUGGGCUAAUACUGACGCUGAGGUGCGAAAGCGUGGGGAGCAAACAG
rnacentral:rRNA from 1 species